rnacentral:rRNA from 2 species
GUAGUCAUAUGCUUGUCUCAAAGAUUAAGCCAUGCAUGUCUAAGUAUAAGCAACUUUUACGGUGAAACUGCGAAUGGCUCAUUAAAUCAGUUAUCGUUUAUUUGAUAGUACCUUGCUACAUGGAUACCUGUGGUAAUUCUAGAGCUAAUACAUGCUGAAAACCCCGACUUCGGAAGGGGUGUAUUUAUUAGAUAAAAAACCAACGCCCUUCGGGGCUCCUUGGUGAAUCAUGAUAACUUAACGAAUCGCAUGGCCUUGCGCCGGCGAUGGUUCAUUCAAAUUUCUGCCCUAUCAACUUUCGAUGGUAGGAUAGUGGCCUACCAUGGUGGCAACGGGUAACGGGGAAU